rnacentral:rRNA from 1 species
AUCAACGCUGGCGGCGUGCCUAACACAUGCAAGUCGAACGCGAAAGUUCUCCGCAAGGGGAAUAAGUAGAGUGGCAAACGGGUGAGUAACACGUGGGUAACUUACCCUCAAGUGGGGAAUAACUUGUCGAAAGGCGAGCUAAUACCGCAUAAUGAGUUAAGUCGCAAGAUAAAGGCUCUAAAGAUGCAAAUCGCUUGAGGAGAGGCCCGCGUCCGAUUAGCUUGUUGGCGGGGUAAUGGCCCACCAAGGCGACGAUCGGUAGCUGGUCUGAGAGGACGGCCAGCCACACUGGGACUGAGACACGGCCCAGACUCCUAUGGGAGGCAGCAGUGGGGAAUCUUGGGCAAUGGGCGAAAGCCUGACCCAGCAACGCCGCGUGGAGGAUGAAGUCCUUCGGGGCGUAAACUCCUGUCAGGCGGGACGAAGUCAGCGUAAGCUGAUUGACGGUACCGCCGGAGGAAGCCACGGCUAACUCCGU